CCUACGGGAGGCAGCAGUAGGGAAUUUUCCGCAAUGGGCGAAAGCCUGACGGAGCAAUACCGCGUGAGGGAUGACGGCCUGUGGGUUGUAAACCUCUUUUCUCAAGGAAGAAGUUCUGACGGUACUUGAGGAAUAAGCAUCGGCUAACUCUGUGCCAGCAGCCGCGGUAAUACAGAGGAUGCAAGCGUUAUCCGGAAUCACUGGGCAUAAAGCGUCUGUAGGUUGUUUAGUAAGUCUGCUGUUAAAGACUGGGGCUUAACCCCAGAAAAGCAGUGGAAACUGCUAGACUCGAGUGUGGUAGAGGUAGAGGGAAUUCCUAGUGUAGCGGUGAAAUGCGUAGAUAUUAGGAAGAACACCAAUGGCGAAGGCACUCUACUGGGCCAUAACUGACACUCAGAGACGACAGCUAGGGGAGCAAACGGGAUUAGAUACCCCCGGUAGUCCUAGCCGUAAACGAUGGGUACUAGAUGUUGCACGUAUUAACCCGUGCAGUAUCGUAGCUAAGGCGUUAAGUAUCCCGCCUGGAAUCGCUCGCAAGNGUGAACUNAAGAUG
rnacentral:rRNA from 1 species